rnacentral:rRNA from 1 species
UACGUAGGGUGCAAGCGUUAAUCGGAAUUACUGGGCUUAAAGCGUGCGCAGGCGGCUUUGCAAGACAGAUGUGAAAUCCCCGGGCUUAACCUGGGAACUGCAUUUGUGACUGCAUGGCUGGAGUGCGGCAGAGGGGGAUGGAAUUCCGCGUGUAGCAGUGAAAUGCGUAGAUAUGCGGAGGAACACCGAUGGCGAAGGCAAUCCCCUGGGCCUGCACUGACGCUCAUGCACGAAAGCGUGGGGAGCAAACAGG